rfam:Bacilli bacterium VT-13-104 contig043, whole genome shotgun sequence.
AUAUUCCUUCGGGGCAGGGUGAAAUUCCCUACCGGCGGUGAUGAAGUAAUGCUUCAAAGUCCGUGACCCGUGCGGUUAUGAUACCAAGCGGUGGAUCUGGUGAGAAUCCGGAACCGACAGUUAAAGUCUGGAUGGGAGAAGGAAUUU